GCCAGUUACCAGUAUCAGCUGGCUAACCGAUUCUGAUAGUGACUGACAACAAUGGACCUAAUAAACGUAUAUUAAAUCAUCAUUACCACGUCCAGGACUUUGCAAAUUUGACUCAUUAAUCGUCUGCAUAACGGUAUGGCUGUGACGUCACGGGAAUGGAAUCCGUGACCGAGUGGUUGAACAGCUUAAUCAGCAACGAAGACGUUCUUCCAGAGAGAUGUUCCAGAUAUCUUCCAGAAAGUAGAGAUUCUGGAAUGAUGAUUUCCUUCUCAAGUCUUCGAAAUAUGGGAAUAUGACUCGCAAAUUUUAUUGGCAAAAUGAUGGCAUGGCAACAUGAAGUCCACCACUUCGCCAUACUUUAGUACCAUCGAGGGAGGAACACUUGAACUUCUUUCCGACUGGCCUGAAGUUUUAGAAGUUGAAGUUCUUUAUCAGAGAUCAGGAGGACAGACACUUUUUCCUCAUUUCAAAAUUUGGAUGAAGCAGGAGGGAUCAUAACUUCUUGAUGUAAUAAUUUCUUAAGGUAAAUCAGUAUCAAAGGCUUAACUAAUAAUGAUUUUUGUCCUUUUAAUAUUAUGCCUUUUUCUUUUGUAAUUGUCUCAUAUAAAGUCUGUUCU